UACGUAGGAGGCGAGCGUUGUCCGGAAUCACUGGGUGUAAAGCGCGUGUAGGCGGCCUGUCAAGUCUGCUGUGAAAGCGCCUGGCUUAACCGGGCGAGGUCGGUGGAAACUGGCGGGCUGGAGGCCGGUAGAGGGGGGUGGAAUUCCCGGUGUAGAGGUGAAAUUCGUAGAUAUCGGGAGGAACACCGGUGGCGAAGGCGGCGACCUGGGUCGAUACUGACGCUGAUGCGCGAAAGCGUGGGGAGCAAACAGG
rnacentral:rRNA from 1 species